rnacentral:rRNA from 1 species
GACGUAGGAUGCGAGCGUUGUUCGGAAUUAUUGGGCGUAAAGCGUGCGUAGGCGGUUAUCCAAGUCUGGUGUUAAAGCUGGGAGCUCAACUCCUGUGAUGCAUUGGAAACUGGGUGACUGGAGUGCGGUAGGGGAAGGUGGAAUUCCGAGUGUAGCGGUGAAAUGCGUAGAUAUUCGGAAGAACACCGGUGGCGAAGGCGACCUUCUGGGCCGCAACUGACGCUGAGGCACGAAAGCGUGGGGAGCAAACGGGG